AUGGCGUCCCACGCGAUGCGCCUCCUCCUGCUCCUCGCGCUGGCCGCCGCGCUCGCCGGCCGCUCCGAGGGGGCGUGGUGCGUGUGCCGCACGGACCUGCCGGACGCGACGCUGCAGAGGACGCUGGACUACGCGUGCGGCAGCGCCGCCGCCGCCGACUGCAAGCCCAUCCAGCCCAACGCCGCCUGCUUCGCCCCCGACAACGUCAAGGCGCACUGCUCCUACGCCGUCAACAGCUUCUAUCAGCGCAGCGGCCAGAACCCGCUCGCCUGCGUCUUCUCCGGCACCGCCGUGGUCUCCUCCACCGACCCAAGCACCAACGGCUGCAAGUACCCUGCAAGUGCAACCCCAAGUGCCCCUGACAGCCCGCCGCCGCAAAUGGCGCAAGGUCCGAACGGCCCCCUGAAGGACACCAGCGGCGGCACCGGCGUUCUGCCAGAGGCGCCACAGGCCCCGGUGUUCCAUCCGCAACCCUGA
rnacentral:rRNA from 1 species